rnacentral:rRNA from 1 species
GAUGAACGCUGGCGGCGUGCCUAAUACAUGCAAGUCGAGCGAACAGACGAGGAGCUUGCUCCUCUGACGUUAGCGGCGGACGGGUGAGUAACACGUGGAUAACCUACCUAUAAGACUGGGAUAACUUCGGGAAACCGGAGCUAAUACCGGAUAAUAUAUUGAACCGCAUGGUUCAAUAGUGAAAGACGGUUUUGCUGUCACUUAUAGAUGGAUCCGCGCCGCAUUAGCUAGUUGGUAAGGUAACGGCUUACCAAGGCAACUAUGCGUAGCCGACCUGAGAGGGGGACCGCACACCCGGGAGCGGAGACACGGUCACAGCGCGUAGGGGAGGGAACAGAGGGAAAUCUGCGGCAGGGGGGAGAAGUUGAGCGGAAAAGCGCGGAGGGAGAGAGAAAGGUCUUGGGAUCGGAAACCUUUUUUAUGGGGGAAAAAAAAAUGUGUACGAAAAUAGACACGUAUUGACGGUACUUAAUAAAAAAGCCACGGCUAACUACGUG